UUUAUUAUGUUUGAAUUAUUAAUUUUUUUAGUAUAAAUGUUCAGUUUGUUUUCUUAAAAGUUUUAUUCUUGCUUAUUUAUUCAUUUUUUCUUUGUAUUAUAUGUAAGUUUUGUUAAACUAAAAGUUCUUUUUGCAGUGAUUUAAUUUAAUUAUCAAUUAAUUUUGGAAUUAGCAAUUGAUUUAGUAUUGUCAUAUUUCGUGCCAGCAGACGCGGUUAAACGAUUAAUGUAAAUGAAUAUUUUUGGUUAAAACAGUUAUUUAUAGUUUUAGGAUUAACUUAUAAAUUUAUAGGGUGAAAUUUAAAAUUUUUUUUUUAAUUCUUAUUAUGAGCCUGUGAAACUUAAACAAUAAACUAGGAUUAGAUACCCUAUUAUUUUAAGUGUUAAUUUUAUUUGCCUGGGUACUAUUAGUUAGGAUCUUUAAACCCAUAGAAUUUGGCGGUAUCUUAUUCCAUUUAGAGGAAUCUGUCUCGUAAUUGAUAAUACACGAUUAACUUUACUUAAUUUAUUUGUUUGUAUAUCUCCGUUAUAAGAAAAUCUUAUUUAAGUUAUAAUUUUCUUAAUUUAUGAUUGUAAAAUAUUUCAGGUCAAGGUGCAGCUUAUAAUUAAGAGGGGAUGGAUUACAAUAAACUUAUGUUUAUUACGUAUUUGAUAGUGUAACACUAUUAAUGAAGGUGGAUUUAAUAGUAAUUUAAUUUAUUUAAUUUAAUUGAUAUUGGCUCUGAGGUGUGUACACAUCGCCCGUCACUCUCAUUAUUAAAUAAUCUACUUUAAUUUUAAGUUAUUUUUGAUUUAGAUGAGAUAAGUCGUAACAUAGUAGAUGUACUGGAAAGUGUAUCUAGAAAGAUUAU
rnacentral:ncRNA from 1 species